CAGCUCCAUUCCCCUCCGGUCUCCGCCGUCCGCCGAAGCCGCCUCCGGCAAGGACCCGGCCGGCGACGCUGCCUCUUCCCCGGCGGGCCGCCCGCGGCCACGCGCGCCCUCCCCGCGCUCUGGCCGUGGCCGGUCUGCUCCUCCCCUCUUCGCCCGGGGCCUCGGGUCGUGCCUCUCGCCUCGCCUCCUCGCGUCUGGUUCGGAUUCGCUCGUCCUCGAUUCGCCGCCGGUUUAGGUUUAGAACCGCACAAGAUUUUGUUUCUGCUCGUGCUCUAUUCGUCAGUUUGGAGUCGCGCCUGCUCUGAUUUUGCUCAUCCUCGCUGUCGCCCGUUUGGGGUCGCGUUCGGUUCGAUUUUGCUCGUCGCCUUCGUCCGUUUAGAGUCGCCGUCCGGUUCGAUUUUGCUCGUCGCCGUCGUCCGUGUGGAGUCUCCGUCCGGUUCGAUUUUGCUCGUCCUUGACGUCGUCCGUGUGGAGUCGCGUCCUAUUCGAUUUUGCUCGUCUUCGCCGUCGUCCGUGUAGAGUCGCGUCCGGUUCGAUUUCGCUCGUCCUCGUCGUUGUCCCGAUGCGCUCGCGUGUUCUUGGUCCGUCUCGCCUCGUCGGGGGUCUCCGUCUCAUUUGCGAACUAGCAAUUCUUUCUUUCUGCGUGCGAUUCUGUUAUCCGAGAGGCACUCCGGGUCCUGGGUUCCGUGUUCGCGUCGGUUGCAGGAACGAACGAGGUCUGGUUUAGAAAUUGGAUUACGGCCGGAGACGGGGAGCGAUGUUCGUUUAUCGUGCUAGUUCAGACCGGUUCCUCAGUUACGUCACCUGCGAUGCUCUCUUGUGAUACUCUCUCAAUUCUUGGCCCUCUGUCAGUUCUUGUUGGCCCUCUGUCAAUUCUUAAGUUCCAGGGUCCGCUAAUUCUUGAGUUCUUGUUGUACUAGUUAGGCCUUAGGCGUGUGUGCUCUCAUCUUAGGUGAUUUCCUAGUUCUGAUGGUGUAUACUGUUUAUGUUCUUUCCAAUUUGUUUCUUUUUUAUCAUGCUUUGCUUUGUUUUGCCUGCUGCUUGACUAAUUGAACACCUGCUGCUGCUACUGUUGGACAAAGGUUCCUUCUUUUCUUCCUGGUUUUGCUAUUUCCAUCGAAGUACUCAUAGGAGUUCUAGAUGAGCUGCUGCUAGUUAGUUCCCCUUAGACUACAUUCUAGAUUGCAUAGCAUAACUCAAGAAUUUUGUCAUUGCACAUAUGGGUAUAUAUAUAUUUCUGUUGUGAGCAUAACUCCAGAAUUUAUUUAUCCAUGAAAGCACGUUCAUCACAUGUUUAUGCGCAUGCUUAUUUAUCCAUGAAAAUUCUAUCGUGUCCCUUUCCUUUGGACAAAAAUUUCAACAAACCUAUAACGUGGACAUGUGCUGCUUGUUUUCUUGUGAUGAUGGUGACUAGCCCAACUCUUAUGCUCUGUCAUUUGUUAAUCCCCAGUUAGCGUGCUUGAAAAAUUAUUGCUUGUCAUGUUAAAUUUUAUGGCAUCAACUCGGUAUUGUGAUUAAUGACCUAGUAUUUGUUUAGUGUAUACAUCUAACUUCUUUUCUCUUAAAUUUUUAGUGAUAUGCGUGUUCUGCUAUGUCUUAUGUUGAUAGUACAUUCUUUUUCUUGUAUUACUCAUGUCUAGUCACUGGAAUAAUGCUUUUCUUGAUUUGCCUAGACUUUGUGACAAUUAAUUUAUAGUGAGAUCAUUGAGCUUCUGACAUCCUACUGCAUAAAAUUCUGUUGUAAUGUUUGUUGGAUCAUUGAGUAGUUAGUAUUGAUUCUGAGUUUGUUGGAUCAUUGAACUUCUGCGUGCGCUUCUGUUAUCCGUCAUUUUGUGUUUCAGUGUUUCAGAUAGUGUAGACACUCGCGAUCCCGCGUUUCGUUUUUGCGGCGGAGCGAUGAACGAUUACGUUUUGCGUUCCUGUGUUUUGUGUUCGCCAUCUGGUUUUGAAUUUGGAUUACGGAGACGGGGAGAGGCCAGAGUAAGGUCAGUUUCAGAUUGGUUCCAUCGCUGCGUUGUUCGUCGGCGAUUUCCAUACCUCAAACGCAUGCGCCCUUGUGAUACUCUAGUUUGGCUCGUGGGUCGUUACGGUUGUUCUUACGUUCUUGAAUAACCCAUCUUAUAUGCAGAGAUGGGGUGAUCGUUAUGGUUCUUCUGAUUGCUGCUUAUGUUGUUUCGAAUUGGGUUCUUCUUGUAAUGCUUUGCUUAUGUUUCCAAUGUCUGUCUUUCCAUAUAUGGGGAUGCGUUCAGAGGUGCAAACCGUGUAGGCCGUGGUGUGUUUAUACUAACUAUGCUGUGUUCUACACUAUCUGAUGUGGAACGUAGAAAUAUGUUGAUAUCACUUCUGUGCUAGUAUACUAGAUAUGGUUUGUUUUAUCCAAGUUAUUAACCACAUCUCUUACAAAUUUUCCUUGAGAUGGUACAUGUUUAUAUGCUAGGAGUGAUUGAUGUCUUGACGAAUAUAAUCAUUUAUGCUAACUUUGUAUUGGUAGUUCCUGCGGUAACACACCAGUACUUGUUUACUGCAGACAAUUGACUAUUCUUUUUUCUGAACUUUUUUGUGAUAUGUGUGUUAUGUGGAUAUCAUAUUCUAAUGCUUUUCUAAGUAUUUAAGGUACAGACUUGUGGAUCUGGACAUCUCACAUUUGCUCUUUAUUGGGUUGCUAAGGACACUGAACAGUUUGGCUGGGCCACUGCACGCCCUGGCUAAUCAGGAAGUGUUGCCAUGGAUCAAAUCUGUAAUGGAAGAGACUAGGAGUAACAUUACAACCGACCAACUUAAAGUAUAUGUAUGGAAGACACUGAAGAGUGGAAAGGUUGUAGUGAUUAGAGAGAAGCUUGCAGAACUGUAUGAAUCUGAACAAGAAUGGUUGAGAGCAGCACAAAUGCUUAGUGGCAUUGACUUGGACUCAGGAAUCAGAUUGAAACAAGCUUUUGUCUCUGUUUACAUGUCAUUGGAUUUUCUAAAUCUGGGAAAUCUGACCAUCUUCUUAAAAACCAGGAUGCUUGAUGACACAAACAAAUUAUCCAAGUGCGUCCAGAUUGCACGACUCUAUUUGGAGGAUGAUGAUGAUGCAGUGAAUGUUGAAGCCUUUAUCAACGAAGCCUCGUUUUGGUCACAAACAGCAACUAGGAAAUUCUGAACUUACAAUACAAGGUCUGCUAUGCGAGAAUUUUAGAUCUAAAGCGUAGAUUCUUGGAAGCUGCACUUUGAUACUAUGGUAUCUCUCAAAUUGUGCAACGCCAAAUUGGGGAUGAGCAAGUUGUGUUUGGAAUUGAUGUUGCCUCCAUAUUUUAUUCUCAAAAAUCUUGAUGGAACAUGUUUCUUAGUGCUGCUGUAUAACAUGCACAAUAUUGGCUGGUGCUGGCCCACAACGCUCUCGUGUUUUUGCUACAUUGUACAAGGUUGUUCCUGGCUGUGGUCAUGGAGUUCUACAUAAUACAGACCAAAGAUAUUCAUGCCAAAGGGAGUUCGCAUUGAAAUAUUUACCCGAGGACCCACUUCUCCAACUGGAACGAAGAUCUGAAUCACCCUCACCCGAGGACCCACUUCUCCAACUGGAACGAAGAUCUGAAUCACCCUCACCCCUCUAGAGAAAUCAGUUUACUCAUUCAAGUUCUGGAAUUUCUUUAUAGUUUUCUGAGUUACUUCGGUCUUGCAUAUGUAUUAGCUUUCUCUUCGUGCCCCUAUCUAUAUAUGCCUGUUUCUUGUGUGCAAGCGCUCCAUUCUGUGUGGGUGUGUGACUUGAUGGUGAAUAUGUGUGUGGCUUGACUGUGUGUGUAGGGCUUGACUGUGUGUGGCUUGAUGGUGAAAUUGUGUGUGGCUUGACUGUGUGUGUGUGUCUUGAUUGUGUGUGGCUUGACUGUGUGUGUGUGUGUCUUGAUUGUGCGUGUGGCUUGACUGUGUGUGGGGCUUGACUGUGUGUGUGAGAUUGUGUGUGGCUUGAUGGUGAAUAUGUGUGUGGCUUGACUGUGUGUGUGACUGUGAAUAUUGCAUUUGCUUGAUGGUGUGGCUUCUAUAACUUGUGUUUUAUAUGUCACAAUUGAUUGUUGUUUAUUGAAUGUGAACAAACCUAACACUAUUCUUUUUUUCUGAACUUCUAUGUGAUUAUGCCAAUUAUGUGGAUAUCAUAUUCUUUUUUGUAUUAUUGAUGUCCAUUUUCUGGAAUAACGCUUUUCUAAGUAUUUAAGGUACAGACAUGUGGAUCUUGACAUGUCACAUUGGCUCUUUAUUAUGUUGCUAAGGACACUGAUGGGUUGUGUUUGCAUACAACGCAGUAUGGGCCAACAAAAUGGUCUCAUUGCAAGGUGGACGUAUAUGCAAGCAAUGUCAAGAGAGAUAGAAGCUUGGACUAUUGAGAAACAUGCACUGAUUAAUGCCCAUUGGGUAUAUGGGAAUAAAUGGGCAGAAAUGGCAAAAGUUCUUCCUAGAAGGAAUCAGGUACUUCUAUUUGUUCUCAGGUUCUUCUCACCUAUAGCUAAAGUCAAAGACGACAAACCAAGUGGAUUAUUGCAGUUGCAAGAUACACAAAAUCAUCAGUCAUUUGAAUCUUCUUUUCUAAUGACUGUUGGUGCUGCUCAUGAGGCUAGCCAUCCGCUUGGAAGCGAUGAGAGGCAACCACUGUUGUCAACUUGAAACGUAUAAUCUUUUAGGAACGAAGAUCUGAAUCACCCUCACCCCUCAACAGAAAUGUGUCUAGUCAUCCAGGUUCUAGAAUUUCUUUAUAGCUUUCUGGUUUACUUUAGUCCUAUCUAUGUAUUUGCUUUGUGUUUGUGCCCUAUCUAUGUCUGUUUCUUUUUGUUUCUUGUGUGCAAGCGCUCCAUUCUGUGUGUCUGACUGUGUGUGGCUUUGACUCUCUUGUGUGUGUGUGGCUCGACUG